rnacentral:rRNA from 1 species
UCCACGCAGUAAACGAUGAAUGUUAGUCGUCGGGAUGCAAGUCAUUUCGGUGAUGCAGUUAACACAUUAAACAUUCCGCCUGGGGAGUACGGUCGCAAGAUUAAAACUCAAAGGAAUAGACGGGGACCCGCACAAGUGGUGGAGCAUGUGGUUUAAUUCGAAAAUACGCGAAGAACCUUACCUAGCCUUGACAUUGAUAGAACACAGUAGAGAUACAGUGGUGCCUUUCGGGG